rnacentral:rRNA from 1 species
UGAUUUAUAAUGUAAAGUAUAGCCUGCCCACUGAGUUUUAAAGGGCUGCGGUAAUUUGACCGUGCAAAGGUAGCAUAAUCAGUAGUCUUCUAAUUGAAGGCUUGUAUGAAUGGCUGGAUGAAAGAAAAACUGUCUUUUUUAUAAUUUAAAAUUUGACUUUUAAGUGAAAAGGCUUAAAUUUAAUAAGGGGACGAUAAGACCCUAUAAAACUUUAUACUCUUUAUACUUUUACUGUGAAUUUUAAGUAAAUAUGGGUAAGUGUAGCGAGUAUUUUAUUGGGGAGAUAUCGAUAUAAGUUAUAACUGUCUGAGGAAAUAAAAUAACCAUAGUUAUAUUUUGACCCUUCUUUGUGGGUAAAAAGAAUAAGUUACUUUAGGGAUAACAGCGUGAUUUUCUCAGAGAGUUCCUAUCGAAGAGAGUAGUUGCGACCUCGAUGUUGAAUUAAAAUUUCGGCUAGGUGUAGGCGCUUGGUAAGUGGGUCUGUUCGACCUUUAAAAUUUUACAUGAUUUGAGUUCAAACCGGUGUGAGCCA